rnacentral:tRNA from 1 species
GUUAUCUUUAUCGGUUAAGUAACUGAUUUAUAAUCAGUAGGUCGGCGGUUCGAGUCCGUGUGUGGGCACCA